AUUAAAUUUUGUUUGAGCAUGAAUGAUUAAAUUUUUAAAUUUUAGUUACACUGAAAAAAUAAUACAUUUUCCCUAAAAAUGUUAUACUUAAGAAAAGAAAUUCUUUAUUCAUUUCAGGUGAAGAUGGAAAAAGAUAAAGACCUACUCCAUCGGGAAAAAUAAAAAAAUAUGUUACUAAACUUAUUCAAAGUGCUCGUAUGGCCAGAGGGCAGUCAGUUAUGUUGGGUUCAUCUUUCAAGCCGAAGAUCGAGGAACAGACAAAAAGGUUGGAAACCUUUAAUAAAAGUAUUAAAACUGAGGAUUUGGGCAAAGAAGUGCCAGUUGUCAGAGUGUUCCCUAUGAAGGAAUUUACAGCAUCGGAGGAAGAAACAGAAGAAAGUAACAUCGAAUCUUUCCAUCAUUAUAUUAGCCAUUUGAAUACUGAGCAAAUGGCGAGUGAGGAAUUUAUGACUACAGAUUGGACAGAAGACGAUAUGAAUUACAUAGAGACUUGACCAUACGCUCAAGCCAAAGGAGAAAAGUGUUGCUGACCAUAAGAGACAGACUUCGUGUAGACCGGACAGCGAAGCUCAUGCUAAUGAAAAAGAACCAAGUCCUUGAUUGUGUCUCCCUCUCUCAAGCCAGCAGCCACUUCAUCACCGACGGUGCCUACAAAAGGUUUGCGGAUUGGAGAUUCAUCCACAAGGCAAGGCUCAACCUUGUUCCUCUCAACGGCUGCCAACAAUGGAAAGCAGCAAGAAAUUAGGGCUGCAGGUGCUGCGACAACCCCCAAGAAACCCUGUCUUCAUGUCCUUAACCAUUGCUGGGGUAGCAAGUCCCGCGCCUACCAACUUAGACACAACUGCCUGGUAGACCGGGUGAAGAAAGCAGCAGAAAGAGACUCCACUAUUGUAUCUGAAAACAGACAAGUUGCCGGAGCACAUCUAAAGCCGAGCUCAUAAACUAACUAAUUUAAUUAAAAUUUAACUAAUGUUAUAGCAUUUAUUAAAGAGCAAUCUGCCUUGAUUAUUCAAAAUGAACACAGUAAAAGGUACUCCACUGAAAUGAUGAUAUUCUGCUCAUUAUUUUAUUCAAUGGCUCCGCAUGCAUAUAAUUUGUCAGAAAGUCUGGCUAUUUUUUGUUACCUCAUCCUGUAACUUUGAGAAAUGUAUGCAUACCUAUCAACACUUGCCCUCAGUCAGAGCAGAGCGAAUUGCAUUUCUUAAGGUACAUUAAGCAGAAAUUACAAUUCAUAGCAUCUGCAGAUAAAAAUGUGAUUCUUCAAAUAGAUGAGAUGCACACCAAACCCUACUUUGAUUACAAAGGGAGAAAUAUAUCAGGUUUCAGUUACAAUUCAGAAAAUGCCACCACAAGUGUUAUGACUUUCAUGAUAAAUAGUAUUUCAUCCUCAUAUAAAGAUGUUCUUCAUAUUCUUCCUGUAAAUAAAAUAGCAGCAGACGCUUCUCCUUCACGGUCAUAUUCAAUUGUUUAUCCUCAUCUGGUACACUACAAAGAAACAGCAGAAUAUAUAAGAACAAUAAAUAGAUGGUGGGGUAUUGUUAAUGAGCUUUGAUAAAGGCUCCAGUGAUUUGAACAUUCCAAUAGAACCUCUUCCCGAUGUUCAGCCACUUGAGGUUUUGGAUGAAGAGCCGUGAGAAUUGGGAUGAUGAAAAUUUGAAAUAGCA